GGAUCGCCCCACUUCAGGACCGGGGGAUGCGCCUCCCGGGGCCAGAGGGAGGAUGGAAAGCCCCGCCUUGGGGGCUCCGGGUGGUGCCUCCUGUUCCAGGGGUCUUUGCAGAAGACGCCGGUCUGGGGGCGGGGGCGGGCACAGAGCCCCAUUCUGGGAGGCAGUGGGUGGAGCAGCCCCCUUUGGAGGCAUGUAGGCAAGAUGGGUUCUCACCUCUGGGGAAUGAGACCCCUGUUUAGGACGCGCAGCGGGUGGGUGCACUGCCUCCUCGUGAGGGCGCUUGGGGACGACAUCCCACCCAGUCUUGUUGUCGGGGGCUGCUACACAUGUGGGAUAGUGGACUACCCCCGUUCCGGUGGAGGGCCCCGCCUCCAAGGGGUGACGCUGUCCCAGAUGUUCCCCACUGCCUGGACCCACUGCUGAGGGCCUCCCACCCUGCGGGUAUCAGCUUCCGGGCCUCACCCCUUCCCCUUCAGGCGGUCACGCUGUGGGCGCGUCUUAUUGGUCGUGAAGGGCAGGGGCUGCUGUGGUGGAAGUGAGGGGUCUUGGAGGCCAGCUGGGUCAGCCUCCUGACUCCCUUAUCAUUUUUUGUGGAAUUCACCAGAUCCGGUUUCUAGUGCACUGACCACUCCUGCCCUUUCUGGGCCUCAGUUUACCUUCCUAUAACAGGAGGGGGGUAGGGGGAUGACAUCUCCAGGCACCUUCAGUGCCAGGGCUCUGCAAGCAGAGGGGGGAGGAGGAGCGCCCCCCUCCCUUUCUCUCUGGAUGCUGGGGGGCUACCAUGGCGCUGUAGGGUCACUGCUUUCUUGUGUCCCUCUCCUUGGCAGGCCUCCCUCAUCCUCUAGUAUGGCAGGUUUGGGGAGGGAGGCAGCCUUGCUCAGCCCUGUGGGUUCACGGCCUGCCUUUCCCUGGGGUGGUGUGCAAAGCCCAGCCAUUGCCUAGAGGGUCGGUUCCUUCUUGGUCAAGGUUGCAAGCUCCCAAGUAGGAAGUUUCUGAAUCUGCAGAAUCCUCUGCUCCUCCCAGGCAGCCCUUGCCGGCCAGUCCCUGUAGACACCCACAUAGGCAUCCAUCCUCCUUUCCCCACCAGGGCCUCCCAAAGCUUCCUUGGCAGGCAGGGAGAUGCUGUGCUGCCUGGGAGUUGGAAGAAAUAUCUGGAGAAAGACCCAAGAGAGCGAGCAAGAGAGUGAGCUUCCCCCGGGGUUUUGGAGGACUCCCACUCUUCUGUUCCCACUGCCAUCUGGAGCUGUUUGGUGGAUGACCUGGUUCAGCUCCACCUUCCGGCCCUCUUGCUCGCCUUCUGUUCUUUGCUGAUGGCUGGUGCCCUGCCUGGCCAGCACCGGAUGUGGCGGAGGGACCCUGCUGAAGUCCUUUCUCAGCCCCCUGACCUCUGCCAUCAGCCCUCUGACUUGGACUGGGCAGAGACAAAAUAGCCUAAGAUACAGCAACCGCAAGAAAGCCACAGAGCAAACAUGGGUUUUCUCAGGGGUUGGGUGACCUAAUGGGCAGAUAAAGUCCCAGGCCCCAGCUAUGGUUGGGUUCUGAGCACAGGGACCUAGAGCAUAAGCAGCUGCCCCCCCACACACACACAUACCUGUCCCCAAGCCUGCAGAAAUAAGGCUCUCAUAGCUAAUUUCACUCCCUUGAUGGUUAAGAGCUGCCUUUUCUCCUCCGAACUCAUUUCUGUUAAGUUUGGGGAACAAACGUCCAUCCCUUCCUGCUGCUCCUGCAGAUAGGUAAACACAUAAAUGGGGCUGCUUAUUCACCAGGUGGUUCUGUAUGACACCAAAGUCUCAACACCUUGGCGUUGUCAAAGUUUUGUGGUGGAAAGUUCCUUGUUUUGGGGUUGCUGUCUUGAGCACUAUAGGGUUGACCAGCAUCCCUGGUCCCACCCUCUUGAUGCCAGGAGGCCCCCCCCCCAGUCGUGACGACCAGGGAUGUCCCCAGACAUCACCCAAUGUCCACUGGAGACACAGUCACCCUGGGUGAUGGCUGCUGUACUAUACCUGUCCUUCUGUAACUUGCUUGCAUUUAGUUGUAAUAUUUUUUUCUCACGUUGGUGUCAGUUAUCUUCUUCAGAGAGAGAGAAUAUGGUGUUGUGAUUAAGAAGGUGGAAACCCAUUACCCUGCCAGGGUUCCAUUCAAUUGCUGUAUGACCUCAAAGGGUAAAUGCCUUGACCUGUCUGAGGCUCAGUGUCCCUUUCUGUAAAAUGGGGCCAUGCAGCCAGUCUUACCUAGGGUGUCAACAGGUGAAAAGUGUUUGGUGACUCUUAGCAACAGCCUGCUUUAGGAGCAAGCUUUAUUUUUUAAUUUGUUGGCUGCACCUGCAGCACGUGGAAGUUUCCAGUCCGGGGAAUUGAAUCUGAGCUGCAGCUGUGACCUGCACCACAGCCAUGGCAAAGCCAAUGCUUAACUCCCUGUGUGUGGCUGGUGAUUGAACCUGAGCCUCUGCAGUGACCCAGGUUGUAGCAGUCAACUGACCUGACCCACUGUGCCACAAUGAGAACUCCUGGGUGCAGGCUUUAUUGAUUCAGUCAUCCUUCUGCUGGGGGACUAUCGGCUUGGUUUUGGAGCCACCUUUUGCUGUCACAAGCUGUCAGGUUCAACCCAGAAAAAGAUGGCCCCGGUGGAGGCCCCACUGAUGACUGGACAGCCGGGCCCCGGCCACGGGAAGAAGUUGGGUCACCGGGGUGUGGAUGCAUCUGGUGAAACCACCUACAAGAAGACCACAUCCUCCACCCUGAAGGGGGCCAUCCAGCUGGGCAUCGGCUACACCGUGGGCAACCUGAGCUCCAAGCCGGAGCGCGACGUGCUCAUGCAGGACUUCUAUGUUGUAGAGAGCAUCUUCUUUCCCAGUGAAGGCAGCAACCUCACCCCCGCUCAUCACUUCCAGGACUUCAGGUUCAAGACCUAUGCACCUGUCGCCUUCCGCUACUUCCGGGAACUCUUUGGGAUCCGGCCAGAUGACUACUUGUACUCGCUGUGCAAUGAGCCACUCAUCGAGCUGUCCAACCCUGGUGCCAGCGGCUCCCUCUUCUAUGUCACCAGCGACGAUGAGUUCAUCAUCAAGACUGUGAUGCAUAAGGAGGCUGAGUUCCUGCAAAAGCUGCUGCCUGGAUACUACAUGAACCUCAACCAGAACCCGAGGACGCUGCUGCCCAAGUUCUACGGGCUGUACUGCGUGCAGUCGGGUGGCAAGAACAUCCGCGUGGUGGUGAUGAACAACGUGCUGCCACGCGUGGUCAAGAUGCACCUCAAGUUCGACCUCAAGGGCUCCACAUACAAGCGGCGGGCCAGCAAGAAGGAGAAGGAGAAGAGCAUCCCCACCUACAAGGACCUGGACUUUAUCCAGGAUAUGCCCGAGGGGCUCAUGCUCGACGCUGACACUUUCUCCGCCCUGGUCAAGACGCUGCAGCGCGACUGCCUGGUGCUGGAGAGCUUCAAGAUCAUGGACUACAGCCUGCUUCUGGGCGUGCACAACAUCGACCAGCAGGAGCGGGAGCGGCAGGCUGAAGGCGCCCAGAGCACCGCCGAUGAGAAGCGGCCGCUGGGCCAGAAGGCGCUCUACUCCACGGCCAUGGAGUCCAUCCAGGGCGGGGCGGCACGUGGGGAGGCCAUCGAGACAGACGACACGAUGGGUGGGAUCCCCGCCGUGAAUGGCCGAGGGGAGCGGCUGCUGCUACACAUCGGCAUCAUUGACAUCCUGCAGUCCUACAGGUUCAUCAAGAAGUUAGAACACACCUGGAAGGCUCUCGUCCAUGAUGGGGACACUGUCUCUGUCCACCGGCCCAGCUUCUACGCCGAGCGCUUCUUCAAGUUCAUGAGCAACACGGUUUUCCGGAAGAAUUCCUCCCUGAAGUCGUCGCCGUCCAAGAAGGGCCGUGGUGCCUUGCUGGCUGUCAAGCCCCUGGGGCCCACUGCCGCCUUCUCGGCUAGCCAGAUCCCCAGCGAGCGGGAGGACGCACAGUAUGACCUGCGGGGAGCCCGCAGCUACCCCACAUUGGAGGACGAAGGCCGGCCGGACCUCCUGCCCUGCACACCACCCUCUUUUGAGGAGGCCACCACCGCCUCCAUUGCCACGACCCUGUCCUCCACAUCCCUCUCCAUCCCUGAGCGGUCCCCUUCAGAGACUUCAGAGCAGCCUCGGUACAGGCGGCACACACAGUCCUCUGGGCAGGAUGGCCGGCCCCAGGAGGAGGCACAUGCAGAGGAGGACCUACAGCAGAUCACUGUGCAGGUGGAGCCUGCAUGCAAUGUGGAGAUAGUGGUCCCCAAGGAGGAGGAUGUGGGGGAGGGGGCAUCCCCAGCCUGUGCCUCUGCUGCCAUCGAAGCAGAAACUGCCAGCCAGGCCUCCGAGCCCGCCAGCCAGGCCUCAGACGAGGAGGACGCGCCCGCCACGGACAUCUACUUUGUAAGUCCCCCGGGGCUCCCUCCUGUCAUCGGCCCUCAGCCACCCAUGCUUACAGGCACACACACACUCAUGCCUGCAUACACACCAUACAGAUACACAUAUGCUCACAUGCACACAUGCACACUGCUCUACCUUGCGCACACACAGGGCACUCACGGGCACGUCACACACUUAAGGUGCUCGUGCAUACAUGCAUGUGCAUGACACUCGGGCACACGUGUGUGCCCACAUUUCAACACUCAGGUCCAUGUGUCCUGGCACUCCCCCAGUAUGUUCACAGGUACCUGCACACUCCCGCACACGCUCACACUCCGGAGGCGUGGGAGCGCCCUGCCCCUGCCAUCCAGCCCAGGCCAUUCCUAGGCCCCGGGCCAGCCCCAUUCCUUCUCGGGCCUCAUGACCAUGUCUGGCUGGGAACCAGGGCCCUGGCCCCAGGCAUGCCACCUGUCUACCCAGGAAACAUCUGGAGUCCUCACGCUCAGCCCUGCUGGCCCGAGAGGAGGCCCAGGGUGGCCGUGGGGGGCUGAUGUGACAUUCACCUUCUUUUGCUGGAUUGUGGGGACAGUAGGCAAGCUCCCUGCUCAGGGAGGCCAGGGCACCGUGGCGAGAGGCAGUUGGGCUUCAUGCAGCCAACCUCACGGACCAAGGAUACAUGGCUGCUCCUGGAUGAGGUGGGGUCCAUUGAAGCAGGAAGGGACCUGGCCCUAGGGACCCAAGACCUCCUUCUAGAGCUGGGGGUCUCCUCCUCCAUGCACCUCCCGUGAGCGGGCAGGUAGAUGAGCAGGGAGCCUGGGUAAAGUGGGUGCCUGGUGGCCAGGGAGCCUAAAAAGCCCAGCCCAGUGAUCCCACAACAGUGAGAUCACUCACUCAGGGAUCGGCUUGGUCCCAGUUACAACAGAGAGGGCCAGACACCAGCCCAGCCACCCACCCUCUUCCCAGAUCUUCAUUCUCACCUCUGACCCCCAGCCCCUGCCCCGGGAAGGUGAGCCGGAGGCCUGCCCUCUGCCUGGCACUGGGCCUUGGGGUCUGUUUGGAUGAGCCUGGUUCUCCGGCUGGCAUCGCUGCUUCAUAACUAACAUACCCCAGCUCUCUGUUCUUGAGCCAGUGCCGCCUGGUUGCAGGCCCCCGCCUGGCCUGGAGGAUACCAGGUGCACCCUGUGUGUGUCCCCUGACUCCCUGUCAGCUCCCGCUGGGGACUGGUUUGUGUCCCAUUUUCUGGAUCUGUGUGUAAGGCAGUCCUGGGGGCUGUGUCCUGUUGUGUGCGUGAAACCCGAGUGGGCGGCCGGGCCCCUACACAGCAAAGAGGGAAGCCAGAGGGGACCUCCUGCCCCACCUCCCGCUUGGCCAUCGGCUCACCUGCCCUGCUCAGUGCCCUCCCUGCCUGACCACCUGCCAGAUUCCUGUGGCCUCACCUUGUCACCUCAUCCUGUCCUCUGUUUGCUUCUUCCCCGCCCGCCCGGCCCGCCCAGUUCACCGAUGGGAGGUACUGGAUUUACUCUCCCCGGCAUCGCCGACUGCGGGCCGUGACGCUGAGCUCCUCGGGGACUGUAAGUGACCACGGCAGGCCUCCAGGGAGCCCAGCCCCACCCCGCGCCUGGGGCAGCGGGGAGCCUCAGGUCCUGGCCGUCUCUCUUCCUCCAAGAAGGGAGGAAAAUAGCACUUGGGGAAAAUAUCAUGGCAGCUGAGGUUGGCUCUGCUUGCCUCUAUGGGUCACUGUGCUGUGGGCGUCCCCAGGUGAUGUCACUUAAUCCCUUCUGAGUGGACGUCAGUGGGCCUGUGAGCACACAGCUGGGACUCGGGGCAGGGUCUGCAUCUGACCCCCAGCCCCUGGCCGCCCCUGCCCCUUAUCUCAGCCCUCCUGGGCCAGGAGGACAGUUCCUACUCAUUCAGACCUCACUGCUGGUGUCUCCCAAGGGCAACAGUCCCCAGAAGGUGGUGGCCUCCCAGGGCAGCGGAGGUGCUGCAAAAGCAGGCUCUUAGUUGCAGGAGGCAGAAGCUGGUGUCUCCAUACCCAUUUCACAGGUGGAGAAACAGACGUCGGCUCUCCACAGAGACUACAAGAAUGCAGUGUAGACAAAGUCUGGGUCCCAAUUUCAGGCACCAUCAUGUCUAGAAGACACUUGUUGACCCAGCGUGCUUGGGCUGCUACAUGGAUAUUGUGAACCCAUGGCAUUGCCGGUGCCUGUGAUCAUCAUCAUGAGCAAUAAGGGAGGGACUCAGAGAGGCCAAGUAACCUCCUAGAGCCGCACAGUACUCUAACGGGCAGGACAGGGCAGAGGCCUGAAGGGAGACUGUGUUCUCUCGAUGAGGCCCCCAAGGCCACACUCCGGCCCCUCUGAGUAGCUGAGUGUCAGGCGUUGGCGAGUGAGCCCGAGAAGGGGAGACUGCUUUCCCAGCCCUCCCACCAUUUUCAGUCCAGCCCGGGUCUCCACACCCCAGAGGUGAUCCCAGAGCCAGGGACAUGUGACCUGUGAGGACUGGGGGAGGGGAGCAGUUGGCUAAGGCUGCCUGGAGAGGGACUGACUGGACUUGGAGAAACACCAAGGGUGUGGGGAGUUGGAAGGGUGGUCUCGGCAGGAGCUGCACUGAAGCAGGAGCUUGAGGGCCGAUGGAGGAGAGGGAGCAGCAGAAGGAAGGCUGGACCCCGAGGCCUGCUGGGUGGGUUGGGUGUGCCCUUGGUCCGGCUUCCAUGGCUCACCCAGGGCCGGCUCCUUACAGGGUUCCCUUGGGACCCUCCUGUGGUCCCCACUCGGAGCCCAGCAAGGCAGCUUCUAUGGCCCCAGACUGGCCCAGCCCUACCUCCUUGGCUCCCAGGUGGGGGAGGUGGGGCUUUAUUGCUCUGGAACCCCUGAAGGAAUGAGCAGGGCCUGCGUUGGGGUCUCGCCCUGCUGCCCCGGGUGCCUUUGUGUGAGCCUGUCCGCAGGUGGACACGGCCCUCAUGGGAGUGCAGCCCUGGGCCCAGGGGGUCACCAAGGUGGCCUGUGAGCAACAGGGAGGGAGGAUGGGGCACACGCCGAGGCAGGGGCUUCAAGGCUGCCCGGAGCCUAGUGCAUGGCCCACAGUGGGGCAGGAGCACAGGUUUGUUGUUGGUGGUUGUCCCAACUAGACCAAGGAGGGAUGGAUCUUGUGGGGACAGAGUGGGUUUAGCAGCCAUGGGACACCUAGGGAGACGUGGUCAGGACAGGUGUGUCCUCCUGCUGGGGUAGAGGUCACAGGCUGUGGGGCGCUGAAGGCCAGUGUGGGGCUGUGGAGGAAAAGAGAAAGCGCCUGGGGGAGGCCCAAGGAAGCCACCAGGCCCAGGACGGUUCUGGCAGAAGGAGCAGACCCAGGAGGACGAAGGGAGGAAUGUGUGUCCUCACAAUGAGACCCGACUGGGACCUCUUCCCAGACACAGCUGGAAGAAGACCAGCAGGCCCUCACCAGGCCAGACCCUGCUCUGCCUGUCCCCAGCCCUGGACUUGGGCCCUGCCAUGCCCAUUCCCCAGGAAGGCAUCUCUAGGCUCUUGGACCUGACUGGGAGGCCUUUGCUGCCUGCUCCCUGGUGGCCCCUGCCUUGGUUGCCCCCUCCCACUCAGGACCCCUAGCUGAGGGUCCCCAGGGCCCUGCCAGUGGUCCCCGGUGGCAGGCAGCGUUUGAGGCUGGGGUGUUCUGGGCUGGGACAGGGCUCAGGGUGCCAUAGGGGAUGGAGUUGGGGGGACAGCAGAGCAAGCCAAGCCCUACCCGCCGUCCCCCCUCCCGCUGUGCCAGCCCUGCCUUGACCCCACUCACCGCUUCCUGCUGCCCACCCCUCUGUGCUCCGGCCACUCAGCCCCGGAGGCCCGGUCCCUGGCGCCACCAAGCCUGAGGGCCAUCAAGGUUGGAGCAGGUCCCCAUCAGGGAGAGGGCAGCAGGGGCUGAGGCACCCACUCGUCCCGCGUUGGGGGUCCCCCUCUUUUAUUUCUGUUUCUUCCUUCCUUCCUCUCGCCUCUCUCGCACCUCCUCGCACCCUGCUCUUCUUCUGCGCCCUUCCUGCACGUGCCGCCUGCCCGCCCUCCAGCCCACCGAUGAGAGGAGCUGGGUGUACUCCCCGCUUCACUAUAGUGCACAGGCCCACCCCGCCUCCGACGGCGAGAGCGACACCUAAUUCCUAUGCAGUCACCAACCUGGAGUGGAGCGCCCGCUGCUGCCCGGCCGCUUCCUGGAGGCGCUGCCCUCCCUGCUCAGCCCAGAGCUCAGGAGACGCCCACUUGGCUGCCGGCCCUCGCUCGCCCUCGUCCUCCCCUCAACGACGCCGAAGCUCCGGGCCGCAGAGCGAUACCGAACUGGUCGGCAUGUCCGGCCCCCUCUCCCCGUCAACUACCUACGCCUGAUACUGUGAACGCUCCUGAGUUUCCAAUCAUGUAUUUAUUUUGGGUCUUUAUUCUUUGCACAGAGAUGGCAGCACACGUGUGUUUUCUUAGAAAAAGAAAAAAAAAAAAAAACCCCACAAUGGAAAAGAAGAAACUAUUCCACUGCAUUUUUGGUUCUUUGCUGUGCUUGCAUGUGUCCCUGAGGGAACCAGGUUCUUGGCUCUGGGGACCUGUGCUCCAGUGGCCCAGGUGCCCCAACUAGAAUCCACUCCAAGUCCGGCCAGGCACCUGGGACAGAAGGCCCUCCAGGUCCAGGCAGGUCCUCAGGGCCCCUCUGGAGGCUGCCCACUGCACCUUCCAGGUGCUCCUGGCUCAGGUUUUUGGGCCAAGAGCUGGACACCAUCCUGGAGGGUGGGUGACUUGUGGCUCCACGCUGUCACCCCUGCCAUCUCUCACCACCUGUUUCCCUGGUCCCGCCUCCCCGGUCAUGAGCAGGAGUCACCAGGUGUGACUAGAACCUCCAUGUGGACGCUCAGCUGCCCCGUCUUGGUGGAGCUCAGGGCUGUGGGCUUCCCGCUCCAUCGAGCCAUGGGAGGAGGCGGCUGGGCCGUCAAGCCACAGGACUCUGGAGAGCUGUGUCUUGGAGCAGAGCCCUGGGCUGCCCAGCCUCCAGGAACAGACCCUUCUCCAGUAAGAGGUCCCCCCAGGACUGGGCAUCCUCUCACUUUUAAAUGAUGGUGACACCUGUGCCGAUUGAAGGACAGGAGAAGAAAUCCUUCGUGAAAAACAAGUCUUUUGGGAUGGUCAUCUUCAGCAGGGGUCCAGAGCCCCACAGGGCGGUCUCCAGGGACCCUCCCCCUCCCCCACACUGUGUCCACAGAGGGGGCUGUCCUUCCUGAGAGGUGACCCAUCAGGGAUGCUGGCCCCCUGCCCACUCGGCCCUGCGCAAGAGGAGCUGGGAGCCAGCUUGAAGUAGAAGUUGCACCUUCUGGAAUAAUUCCUCCCCACCUUUGCCUCCUGGUGGAGCCUGAGCUGGAGAGCCCGCCGACCCAGGAAUCUGAUAUUUCAAGUCCAUUGCAAGGUGGACACUGCUGUCCUUCUGCGACACAAGUCCCUCCCUCCCCUCGCAUAGCCCACUUCGAGCGCCAGGAUGGAAGCUGGUGGCUUGGCUGCCACCUCUCCUCCCACGAGAACCAGGCUGCGGCCCCGGGGCUCUCCCUUCACAGGGCCACUGGGCACACCACAGCCUGAAGCUCGGGAGGAGGACCCUCAGAGGCCCUGUUAGAACCAGCCUGCAGGCGUCUCAGACAAGCAAAACCGUGUCCACCCCUGCUGCCCAUGGAGUGUGUGGACUCCUGACCGUAUCCAUCCCUCCUGCCCAUGGAGUGUGUGUCUGGACCCCCAAGUUUCCUCGCCUGGACUUGGCACCGGCACCUGUCUGCAGUGCCCCACGUGCACACCGCCAAUCUGAGCCUGCCCCACCCAUGAGGGGGGAGGCCAGCCGAGAGGGCAGAGGUCCGAAGGUGACUGACAGGGACUGCUGGAUGUCGUCCAAAUGCUGACAUUGGGAGUCCCUGCCUGCCCCUACAGGGGCCAGGCACAGAAACACGUGGCAUCCCAAGGGGAUGACCUGAGUGGAGGCUCCGCGUCCAGGGCGCCCUCAGCUGCGUGGAGCUUGGGGACCUGGGCCCCUUGGGCUUUCCUGAGUGGCCACGGGACAAAUGCAUCCAUCAGAUGCUGACUUGGAGAUAUUUGCAAACCUCCAGGAUAUCAUGACGUUUUUGUUUUUGUGCUAAGUCACAAACACCCCUUCAGAGACCUACUUUGUGUUGGUUGCAUUCUUUGUCCCUUUUUCAGAGAACUGUCACGUGGAUGCAAAGUGGUCCGUGGACUGAGCCAGCGGGAUGCUUGUGCUUAUGGUCAGGGUAUGGGUGUUGAGGCAAGACCUUAUUUAUAAUGUGUAGCGGACUCACAGCCUCCUACAGACCCGGGGCAGGGAGGGCCCUGGACCCACCCAGCUGUCGCCCCACCCCCAGGAUAGAAAUCUCUCAACUCCUUGGCGAUGCCCUGGUUCUGUCCUGGCUCAUCCCUGCUGGCUGCUGUCACCGAGAACAUGGCAUUGUCUGCAUUGCUGUACUGUACAAAGGAAAGGCGUUUUCUGAGACAAGGUGGAACCUGUCAUGUGUCACCUGCCAGCCUCCAUUCUCUGCCUCCUCUUGCCCCCUCCCUCUACCACCUGGCUCAGUGCAAUACUCCCGUCCUGGUGGGGUCCCUUGCCAUGGUACUGUCGCUGCAGCCCCUCGGCCCCCACCCCGGGACGAGCACCCUUGGCCUCCUCCCUGGUGGUUCAGUUGCAUCGCCUGUCCCCACCCCAACCUCGUUUUUAUGGCUGAACUGAUUUCGAAACAGCAAAACUGCAAACCUUGUGUGUCUUAAUUCUCUCCGGGGGUUCUGUGUGCUCAGCCCCCGUGGUCUGGUGUGUGACAAUCUGGAGCACAGUCUCCUCAGGCACAGGAUGUCGUCCCGCUCAAACCCAGAGCUGUGGGCGCCUCUGUGACCCUGCAGCCACUGCUGGCCCAAUAACACUUGUAUGCAGCCCCAGACCCCCAGCCCCUGUCCCGCUCCCCCACCUUUUUACGUUGAAGAGAUCUCUCUAAUAAAUCGGGUAAUAAGCGUCAA